rnacentral:rRNA from 1 species
UACGUAGGGAGCGAGCGUUGUCCGGAUUCAUUGGGCGUAAAGAGCUCGUAGGCGGCUUGGCAAGUCGGGUGUGAAAACUCCAGCUCAACCUGGAGACGCCACCCGAUACUGCCAUGGCUAGAGUCCGGUAGGGGACCACGGAAUUCCUGGUGUAGCGGUGAAAUGCGCAGAUAUCAGGAGGAACACCGGUGGCGAAGGCGGUGGUCUGGCCGGAACUGACGCUGGAGGAGCGAAGCGUGGGAGCGAACAG